rnacentral:rRNA from 1 species
UAGAGAUAGCUGGUUAUUCAGGAAAAGGAUCUAAGUCCAACUUUAAAUCUCUUAAUAACACCAAAUAAACUAAAAGAUUUAAAUUUAAUUCAAGCAGGGCACAGCCUACUUGACACAGGAUACAACCUCCAAGAUAGGGUAAUGUUUUACUCACGUGACCAAGUAGGCCUAAGAGCAGCCACCUUUCAAAAAGCGUUACAGCCUCAUCACCCAACCCCACCCAUACCAACUAAAACCCAAAACCCAUCACUACUACUGAAUGACUCCAUAAUAAUAUGGAAAACCCAAUGUUAAAACUAGUAACAAGAACAGCCAUUCUCCUACAAACGUAAGUGUAAGCCGGACUGAACCCCCCACCGGCACUCACCGUCAAUGAAUUCAUAGUAGCAACUCCACAAGAAAACCCUACUUACUCCAACGUUAACCUUACACUAGAACUUUCCAGGAAAGAUUAAAAAAAGGGGAAGGAACUCGGCAAAUAUUAACCCCGCCUGUUUACCAA